GUGCUCGCUUCGGCAGCACAUAUACUAAAAUUGGAACGAUACAGAGAAGAUUAGCAUGUGUAAGGAUGACACGCAAAUUUGUGAAGCGUUCCAUAUUUUU
ensembl:snRNA U6 U6 spliceosomal RNA